GACCCUUCGCUCUCGCCUUUUCACUCACAUAGAUCACCGGCGUCGCGCUGUGCUGUACACCCUCGCCCUCCUCGCAUCACCCGCCACCGCGUCUUCUCUCAUGAUGCCGCUCGCUCUACCGCUCCUUCGGCUUGCCACUACAUCGUCGUCUCGCUCGCUCCUCGCCAACGCUCACUGCCUUGCCGCUGCUCGCAGGCUUCUCCGCUCGCUCCACCGCCUCCGCCACAUCCUCGGCUGAGAAAUAAAGAACCCUAACUCCCCCCGCCGUGGUGGCCGCGCAGGCCCGACCGGCACCAAUAUCAAAGAUCUUGCGGUCGUGGAUGGCGUAGGGUGUGACCUGUACUGGGGGAGACGGACGUUCGACGCGGCCGCCGAGCAGACGCUGUCGUACUGGACCGUACUCCUCUCUUCCUGUGCUCCUCCAUUUCAAUUCCAUGGCUCCGCCUCCGUCUAACUAAUUGAUGAUGAAAAUUGGUUCAUCAGUCUCACGGUAUCAUUAAAUUUGAUUCCUAUACUAUGCUUGCGAUUCUGUGUCAUCUGCUUGUUUUUUGUUGGAUUGGACCAAACUUUUGGACAGUUGGACGCAUGGAGUAUCGAAGAGGAGUCUGAGAUUUGUUCUCUGUUCGUCAGCUAUGGAGGAGCUGAAGAACACGAGCCCACGAGGCAGCGCAGGGACAAGAAGUGCCAUAUUGGAGAGAUAGCUGCAAAGUCAUCCGAGCCUAGAAUAGCCGGUUCAAAACGACGAUGAAGGCGUUAUCCACGUCGGCAGAAAUUCUCCAAGCCGCCCGAUCGUGAAUCAAUGGCAUUCAUUGCGGUCUCGAUAGCGUGUGGAAUACGACUCUCACCCCCUCGUUCCGAGGAGCGAGGAGCAGGCCGCCUGCGUAAUGUCGAAGUACUCGAUCAGCAGCUUCUCUUCUCGACGUGGCGCCUCCGCCACCCUCCUCCCCGCGCGAGUACCUCUGGUCUGGGCUCCAGCACGCUGAAUUAGUGCAUCAAGGUUCAUGACUCAGACUGCAUAUGGCACUAUCAAAACCUGUUUACACGAAACACGGUGUUAUGAAGUCAAGUUACAAAUGGAGCAUGUUAGCCCAAAUAGGAAAAGAAAGCUAAGUAAGUGAUCUCGCACCAACUUAAUUCAGAACAAGCAACAAAAAAGGAUGAAUAUCUUACUAGAUGUCUACCUUGUGAUUUGUUCAUGAAAUUUGUCAUGAAGAUCAUACUAAUGUGUGCUAUGCCCCUUUGAGCAUACCUCGUGUCGAAGCACGCCAUGUGCAUAGAGAAUUGCUAAACCAGCAAAGAUAAUUAUCAACAGGUACCAUAGUAAAUACAUUGUUAUAAUGGUGUGCGCCAGAAAAGAAAAAAUUUAUUAGGUGCGGCCACACCCUCUCAACGGCGUGUCACUUCGCAUUGUGGCCACUUUGAUCCGGAUUUAGUUAAAACUCUAAAAGGUACAAAUCAUUCUGCCACUUUUUUAUCCAAGGUAUUUCCUUUCUAUUCUACCUACAAUUCUUUACCUGCUUACAUGGUUUCCUGUAAGUUUGUUACUAUCUCAUUGUAGUCAACAUAUUUCCCUCAUGGUUUAUGUACGUGCAGUUGGUCCACGAAGAGAUUUGGCUAAUCAAAGGCACAUCAGGCUGGGAUCCAGUCAAUUAAGGUUUUGUCUUACUUACCUCGGGUGAAGACAAGGCUUUUUUAUGCACUGAGGUUGCUCUCGGUUGCACUGCAGAAAUAUUUAACAUGCAUCCUACAUUAUUUGGUUACUUUAUGACCAAGGAAUACUUGAUACAGAGAACGUCUUGCUCUAUCAGAGGGUACCAGCUUUAAAUCAAAAACCAAAUUUCAGAGAAAAAAAUACAGAUGCCAAUAUCAAUCUUGGGCCCAUCUCCUGUACUGAAAUCAGCCCAAACAACAUGGUUCCAAGAAAUUGGGUGUGCUGUGGCGACCGGGCUUUCCCUACGGGCUGGUCAUCAUUUCGGGAGCGUCGUGGCUACCUCCGGUGCUGCGGCCAGCGCGACUAGGCCAGAUCGACCCAGCGCGAUGACGGCUGUGCGCGGCGUCCUCGGACAUCGCUCCGCCAGCUCAAAUCUCCAAGCGCUCGAGCUCGGAACUCCUCCAACCGGUCAUCAGCUGCCAGCAAUCGACCUCCAUCCGCAGAGCACUCACCGAAAGGUGGCUCUGGAUAUCUCCUGCUCUAACAGCUCCACAAAAAUUGCAUUCAACACAGGCGACAAACAUUCGAGAACAGAGGUAGUACAAAACAUGUACUGUUGUACAUGAUAUGCUAGUCUAUAAUCAAGAACGAUAGCAGACGCCUUCGCAACACGACUCAGGAUACCCGCACAUAGGAGCUGCUACAGUGAACUACCUACGUCAAAAGAUGGUGCUGGCAGGAUUCCGCUCGAAAAGAUCCCUAGGAUAUAGUACGACCAUAGCAUACCGAUGCUAGGUAGAGAUUCUUAGACCAUUUGUCCUGCAAUGAAACAAGAGUACAUUUUGUCAGAACCAGCCGUCAGUUGCAGAUAAGAUACUGAAUGAGGUACUACUGCAGGCUUGUUAACCUUCACAUGUUUACUAGGGAAAUUAAUUGUCCUCAGUGUCUCUUGGGUUUCAUC